UCUUCCACAGUACAGUGCUCAUGUCAAAAUAGAGGAGGCACGAUCCUACUCCGGCGAACCCGAUCCACCUUCCACUGCCGGCGGUCAAGAGAGAUCAAGGGGGUCCCUUCCUCCGGUCAUCAUCCAGCACCUGUCACCAGCCGGCGAUGCCACUUCAACCAUCUGAUUUCCAACUCUGCCGUGACUUCGGGCGAGGAAGAAGAAAUGGAGAAGCUACAAGCCAUCCUUCUUCUUCCCUGAUCGGAUCCGAGAUGAGAGAAAGAAGGCCGGAGUUACGAAGGAGAUAGGGGUUUACCAUUUCCUUUAAAAUUCUAUUCUGCCAUUCCAUCAUCUUCCGCAUUCAUCUCCGAUUGAAUCUCUAACCGAUCAUCAUCAACGCCGAGUUAUUCUGCUUGAUCUCGAUCCGAUCUUAGCAUGGAGAAGUCCUAGCUUGGUUGUACGAGGUUGUACAUAGUCAGUCCACUGAGUCAUAUCCAGCAUAUCAAAGCCCACAAGGAGUUCAGAAUGAUUAUAUAGCUAUGCGGAAGAGGAUUCGCCGUGUUCAACAAUUCAAGGAAGAGACAUUGCAUGAAUAUUAGAAGAGAUUCAAGGAACUUUGCUCCAGUUGUCCUCAGCAUCAAUGUUGUUGAUGAUGCAGAUAUUGAUGUUGAUGAUGAAGAGAGUGUAGGGGAUUGCAUAGUGGAAGCAAUAUCCUAAGAAUCACCUCUCCCAGUUGUACAAUCACUUGAACUAGAUGUUGAUGAUGUAAGUGUAGGGGAUUGCACGUGAAGCAAUACCCCAAGAAUCACUUGAGCCAGAGUCUGAGCUAUUAUUUGAUGAUGAGGAGACCACAGUCACCAUUCUAGAACCUCCAGAUUUAUACUUUCCAUUUGCAUAGACUCCCAGAGUGGUUGCUUCAAUUUAACCACCUACAACCUCCAUGGAGAACUUUCAAGGCGACAAUGGUAGAAGGAGAGGUGGUUAUGUCAAUUCUAAGUAUCCAUCUUCAGCUUGGAUUUUGUGCCUUAACCGACUCCAACCAUCAAGAAGGAUCAUUCCACUACCAGCAUGGAUCCUACUUCUAAUCUUCUUCAAUAGCCCAAAAUAAAGGGGAGUCUAUCCUUUGUUUUUCUUUUCACUUUAUGCUUUUCUUUACUUCAUACUUUGCUUUAUACUUUGUUUGCAUAUUUUACACUUUGUUUUGUCUUCCCUAUAUUUUGUUUGGUCUAUAUAUCAAUUGAUUUUAAAUAAAUUCUCCAAGUGUGAUUCUUAAUAGUACUUUGAGGAUCAUAAAAGUUCUUUAAGUUCGACCGUCAAUUUUUAGGUCAUUUUACAUGAUUGAAUGCUUUACUUGCAUGCUAUUGGUUAAUGUGGUGAUGGAUUAUAUUUUGAUUAAUUGAGUUUGAUUGCCGAAAAAUUACCUAGAGAGGACUACCUAAAGCCUAUAUUCUAUUAUCUUUUUGUGUGAUAUGCACAGUGCACUCAUGCCAAUUGAAACUCUAGAACUUGCUUUGCACAAUAACAUAUGUGUGCAUGAAUAUGAUGAAGGAUAUUUCUUUCUCUAUCUUCCUUUCAAAUGCUAGUUGAAUAAUUCACUCAGCAUUUUUAUCUCUCACCAUAUUUGCUUUGUCAUCCUUCCAUUGAGAGUUUUGGUUGAUUAUCGUGAUGAGUUAGAUUGUUAGAUGACGGACAAGACUUUAAGUAUGGGGGAGGAUUUGCAUAUGUUGGAGAACUUGAAAGUUUUGGAUGGCUUCAUGAGAAGAUUGUGGCUGUGAAUUGUGUAGUUUGUUUCAAUAGUUAUGAAAGAGACUAUCAUUGCUUUUGGGGUUUAUGAAGUUGGUUAUGUUAGCUCAGUGCUAGAAUUCUGAAUUUAGGAAUCAGAAUCCUGAAACAAAAUUCUUGAAGCUUAGUUAUGAACCUAGAAGCUCUGCUGUGAGUUUCUGUGAAGGUCAGUAUUGUAUCACAGUUCAAGUGCUGUAUUUGUCAUUGACCUUUUGAAUCUAUAAAGAGGAGGCUGAGACAUCAGAAUAUUGUAAGUGAUGGUCAAAUUCUGUAUUGACACAGAAUCUGGAUAUUAGGAAGAACUGAAACCCUGAAGAUUUGAAUUUCUGAGAUACCCUCCUGAACUCCUAGAAAUCUGAUUUCUAACUUGAAUAUCUGAAUGUCCGAUAUUGUCUUUGAAGAAAAAUGCCAUGAAUUAUUGGCAAAGGAGUCAACUUUGUUUACCUCUCCAACCAUACAACAAGAUAGUGUUUCCUUUGCUGAUCAAGAAAUAAGGAUAAUCCACAGCAGGAACUGCAGAAGUUUAGUGUCUAUAAAUUUAUGCCAAUUCAUUAUGCUGCUCCUGACCAGUGUUGUUAUAAAUUUAAGUUUUGAGCAUUUCGGUGCUAAAUGAUACUCCCUUUCAAGUUGAACUCUGUAUAACUUGAGCUGGUAACACUUUGAAAUCUCAAUUCUGAAACUAAAGUCUAAGCUGCAGACUUCAAAACCAGAUUCAAAUUCUGUUUCUGGAAUUGGUAUUCCUGAUAUUCCAGGAAUUAAGACUCAUCAUAAGAUGUGUUAGCAGUAGGAUAUACAAAUGUAUUGCUGGUCUCUGAAUCGGAGUUUUGAAGUCUUAAAAUCAGAAAUUCUUUAACCUUGAGUCUGAAACUAAAUUCUGAAGAUCCUGGAACCUGUGGAGCUCAACUUAGUGAGUUUCUGCUGGAUGUUCUUCUCUGAAGUUUGAAUGACAGGAAAAAAAAAUUCAGUUAUCUUUUGGUUAUCGAAAUUUGGAACCCCCAAUCAAAUAUGAUUUCCUGAAUGACACGAUCGAUAUUCUGAACUCUGAUUUUGAAUUGUUUAAGGGCAGGAAAUUCUGUUAUCAAAAACUGAAAUUGAUUUCUGUAAUUCCAUUGAAACAAAUCCAGCAACUAGUUGAGGCCCUGCACAUAGGAAUUAACAUCCUUUUGAGCAUAAAUGACACUUGCUUUCAGAACUUCAAAUUACAAACCCAUGUAAAUGGAUUCUGUUAAGUAGAAUGGAAGAAUUCCCAAUUGAAAUUCAACUUUCCAUAUAAUCUACAGUUUUGUUUGCAGCAAUUAGGAUUCGAAGUUCUUGACCCUCCUAUUGUUAAUUGGUGUGACAACAUCUCAAAUUCUAUCAAUUCAGUGCCAAAUGAUACAUUCUUCCCAGCUGAGUUCUUCAUGAGUCAACCAAAUUAUAUCAGAGUCCAAGUUUUGGGACUUGAUUUAAAAAAAAAAAAAUUGAAUUCAGGAAGCAGUGAAUUUCUGAAACGGUUCCUUUUAAAUUUUGAGAUGUAUGAAUUGAAGCUCCACUCUUUUACAACCUACACAUGACCCAACCCUUGAACCUAUUUGAAUUCAGAUUCUGGGCAUGGCUCCUGAAUUCAGAUUCUGUAAACCAGAAUGUUAGAAAAUGGUGGUAAUUCUGAAUUCCUUUUGAGCAUGGUUAUUGAAUCAUUGAAAUGCAGAGUUUGAUCCCAACUUAGGGGCUUUCUCGAAUACAGGAAUUAGGGAACUGUAGCACUCAUUUGGUAAGUUGUGUGGUUCAUAUAAUAAAUAGUGACACAUGAAGAGUAUCAAGAGAAGAGAUAGCGUGCCAAGAUUCUUGGGUGGUUAUCAAAGUGAAGGAGAGUUAGUCUUAAUCUCUUGUUUAAUUAUUGACAAAUGGUAUUCAUCUCUUUUUACAUCAAAUUGGUUAACUCAUCAGGUUUAUUCUUCCAAUACUCUCACUCUCUCAUCUAUUCUUUUCCCUUAUCCAUUUUGUUAGCUUCACUUAAAUCUUUUUGACUCCAUUUAAAUUCAUAAAAAUCCUUUUCAUUCAUGUAUGCUAUGUUUUAUGGUGGUGGAGAAUUAGAAAAUGAGCAAGUCUAUGGUAGUGAAAUGUCAUUAAGUUGUAUUGAGUGAGCUCCACUUCCAUCCAUGAUUUUGAGAGUUAAGAGUAGGUACAUUUACUCAGUGAGAUUGCAUCUUGCUUAGUUAUUUCAAAUGGAUUGAAAUCAUCAUGCUUAUUGAUUAUUGUAGGGAUUGAACUUAUGAUUGUUUUGAUCUUUAAAUGGUCUUAGUUAAAUUUAUUUUAUUAUCUUCUAGGUAUUACUAGGAAAUUAUUAUGGAGAUGGGUUUUAGUUGUUUCUUUGUUUUGUUUGUAUGCUCGGGACGUGCAAAAAUAAGUGUGGGAGAAUUUGAUAACGAUCAUUUUGUUACAUUAUUUAGGAUCCUAUACUUGAGUUUUUGGAGUUGAUUGUGUGUUUAGAUCCGCAUUUAUAUCACAUGUUAAGAGUUGUAUCCAUUUUUAGAUUUUAAUACAAAUUAUCUCUUAUUUUUUGAAUUAUGACUAACAUUUGAAUGUGAUCUUUGUAAGGGAUCAAAGGGGCCAAGGACUCUUAUCAGAUCAUAUCAAAUUUAGGCUCAACUCUAGUGUUGAUUGAAGAGAUCAAGCUCUAAAAUAAUUUGGACCGUUAAUCCAAGAUUAGGAGAGAUCUGAGCCAUUUGUUAGAGAUAUGGUCCAUCUAAGUCAAGGGAGAGCAGAUCCUAGCCAUUUAUCAAGAUCUGGAUUUUCAGAUCCUAGAUCUGAACUGAUCCAGCCGUUGGAUCAUAUCUGGAUCAUUCUGGGCGUCCGUGCAGAUCUGAGAUCAAAUUUAAAAGGGAGAAACUACAGUCUUUUCGUCAAUCGCGUCAAACAGAGGAGGCGCAAUCCUGCUCCAGCGAACCCGAUCCACCUUCCACCACCGGCGGUCAAGAGAGGUCAAAGGCGUCCCUUCCUCCGGUCAUCAUCCACCUGUCACUAGCCGCCGACGCCACUUCAACCAUCUGAUUUCCAACUCUGCCGCGACUUCGGGCGAGGAAGAAAAAAUAGCGAAGUUGCAAGCCAUCCUUCUUCUUCCCGGAUCGGUUCCGAUACGAGAGGAAGAAGGGAAGAAGGCCAAAGUUACGAAGGGGAUAGGGGUUUACCAUUUCCUUUGAAAUUCUGUUCUGUCAUUCCAUCAUCUUCCGCAUUCAUCUCCUAUUGAAGCUCUGCCCGAUCAUCAUCAACGCCGAGUUAUUCUGCUUGAUCUUGAUCCGAUCUUAGCAUGGAGAAGCCCUAGCUUGGUUGUUAGCUCCAUUCUGAAAUUCGAUACUUCUUUGAUGUACCGAUUGCUUGCUUGUGUUCAUGUUUUAAUUCUGGUAUGAAUUCAUUGUUGGUUGAAUGGUUGAAUUGUGUUCAUGUUUCGGAUUUCAUCUAUCCGGGUCUGUUUUGAAAUGUGUCUGAUGAAAUUCCUCAACCAUUCUUGUUACUCUGAUUGUUACAUUUAAGUUUGUUAAAUUCUUGCAAUGCUUUAGUUAGUUGA